GACGAACGCUGGCGGCGUGCUUAACACAUGCAAGUCGAACGGUGAAGCGCCUUCCUUUUUGGUGGGUGUGGAUGAGUGGCGAACGGGUGAGUAACACGUGAGUAACCUGCCCCCUUCUUCUGGAUAACCGCAUGAAAGUGUGGCUAAUACGGGAUAUUCUGGGUCUGUCGCAUGAUGGGUCUGGGAAAGAUAUUGUUUCGGUGGGGGAUGGGCUCGCGGCCUAUCAGCUUGUUGGUGGGGUGAUGGCCUACCAAGGCGGUGACGGGUAGCCGGCCUGAGAGGGUGGACGGUCACACUGGGACUGAGACACGGCCCAGACUCCUACGGGAGGCAGCAGUGGGGAAUAUUGCACAAUGGGCGCAAGCCUGCUGCAGCGCCGCCGCGUGAGGGAUGGAGGCCUUCGGGUUGUGAACCUCUUUCGCCAGUGAAGCAGGCCUGCCUCGUUUGUGGGUGGGUUGACGGUAGCUGGAUAAGAAGCGCCGGCUAACUACGUG
rnacentral:rRNA from 1 species